GGAGAGGUGGCAGAGUGGUCGAAUGCGCCGGACUCGAAAUCCGGUUCAGUGCUUGCACUGACGCGGGUUCGAAUCCCGCCCUUUCCGCCA
rnacentral:tRNA from 1 species